UUUCCUCAGUCUGCCCAGUAAAAGCUGUUCAACAAUAUUCUGUUAUUUCCCCCCACAUACCUUGGUGUGGAGCCUGGUCAAACGAGUGUCCUUGGCAGAGCUUUCCUGGGGAAUAUCCUCUGAGCAUCCCCUCACAAAUAUUUCAGUAGUGGAGAAACUUUUCUACACCCUCUUAGCUGAGAGGGUAAAUUGUGCUCUGGAUCACUGCUCACUGUUCAGCCCUAUGUUUUAAAAAAUACUGCAAGGAAAUGCACACAUGUACUGAUUUGGUUUUGUAUCAGUCACGUGUAUCUGUGAAAAAGGGAAUGUGUGUUCAUGCAUGAUGUAUCUUUCUAUUAUCUUUCUGGAUGUUGAUUAAUCUUAAAUGAAUUUACCUAUGAUGAAAAAUUGUCUAAUGCUUUGCAACUUAAUUUUGCUUUCCUACAAAACAUCAGUAUAACCUGUUAAAGUACUGAGAAAAUGCAAUUGAAACAUUUUACCCAUGUCAUAUUUCUUCAUUUGGCUAAAUGGUAACUUGCUCAUUUCAGAUAAUUAUUUUAUAGCCUAAUCUUCUGUGAUAAAACUAAUAAACUCUCAGGUAUCUAAUGCCACAUGAAAAUAGUUUCAUAUCAAAUCCUGAUUCAAUGAUAUAAAUGUUGGUUAGUAAUGUCACUAUGAUCCCCAAUGGAAACUGUGAGAACUAUUUUGUAAACUCCCAGUUAAUACUUGUAAUGAAAGCGUUAGGUUAAGAGUAAACCCAUUCUAAUUUUGCAUUAAAUGUGGCAGAAAAUCACCCCCCUGUCAUUCCAGCUGCUCCUCAGGUAUCAGAGGGGCUGGCAGAGCUGGGUUUGGCUUCUGAGCUGGGGCCAAUUCAGCAGCAGACAUGCAGAGCUGGUGUGACACUGGAAGGAGAUGACCUUUGGGGUUCCUUCCAACCCAGCCCACGCCGUGGUUCUGUGCUGGUGGUGAGUACCCUGUGUGCAGAAGGGUGUGUGAGCCCGUGAAAUAUGAACCAUACAUGUGGGGGGAUAGAAGAUAAGAAAAUAAAGAUAGUGCAGAGAGUAAUCUCAGCCCCAAGGAGUUGCAGCUGGGCCAAUUACCAAAGAUUAGGAGCAGGCCUGACUUUAACAGGCCACAGCUGUGACCAGUGAGAAGAAGAGUGCUAUAAAAGAGUGGGCUGGCAGGUUGAGAAGGAAUUGGAGUCAGUUGGCUGCUUGGUGAGGAAGAGAGAGUCAGUGCUCUGAGGAGCUGCCCACGAGAAGAUCCCAAGAAGCUGACUGUGUGCGACAUUCCCAGCUCCUGAGCAGCAGAAGGGAGCAGAACUGAAAUGAGGGGCUUUUUGGUGUCAUUGCAACAGUGACUGUGUCCCAUUGAACAGAGCUUUAUAUCCCGGAUACAGGAGAUUUUCUCUCCAGCAUGCAGAGUGAGAUACAAACACAGUGUCUGAGAGACGCAGAGUCACAGAACACCCUGGGUGGGAAGGGACCCACAAGGAUCAUGGACCUGAACUCCUGUCCCUGCACAGGACACCCCAAUAAUCCCAGCAUGUGUCUGAAACAUUGCCCAAAAGCUUCUGGAACUGUGGCAGGUGUGGGACCAUUGCCUGACCACCAUCUGGGUGAGGAACC